rnacentral:rRNA from 1 species
UACAGAGGUGGCAAGCGUUGUUCGGAAUUACUGGGCGUAAAGGGCGCGUAGGCGGUUCGUUAAGUCCUGUGUGAAAUCCCCCGGCUCAACUGGGGAACUGCACAGGAAACUAGCGGGCUUGAGUUCGGGAGAGGGAAGCGGAAUUCCGGGUGUAGCGGUGAAAUGCGUAGAUAUCGGGAGGAACACCAGUGGCGAAGGCGGCUUUCUGGCCUGUUCUUGACGCUGAGGCGCGAAAGCUAGGGGAGCAAACGGG